GGGCUGAUGGUCUAGUGGUAUGAUUCUCGCUUAGGGUUCACUCUAAACACAAAUGUGCGAGAGGUCCCGGGUUCGACUCCCGGUUAGCCCC